UACAGGGGGUGCAAACGUUGCUCGGAAUCAUUGGGCGUAAAGCGCACGUAGGCGGUUCGUUAUGUCGGAUGUGAAAGCCCUUGGCUUAACCGAGGAAGUGCAUCCGAAACUGGCGAGCUAGAGUACUAAAGAGGAUCGCGGAAUUCCCGGUGUAGAGGUGAAAUUCGUAGAGACCCGGAGGAACACCAGUGGCGAAGGCGGCAUCCUGGUCUGCGACUGACGCUGUGGCGCGAAAGCUAGGGGAGCGAACGGG
rnacentral:rRNA from 1 species